UAUUGCACAAUGCGCGCAAGCCUGAUGCAGCGACCCCGUGUUAGGGUUGACGGCCUUCGGGUCGUAAACUUCUUUUAGUGCCGACGAAGCGGAAGUGACGGCAGGCACAGAAGAAUGACCGGCUAACUACGUGCCAGCAGCCGCGGUAAUCCGUAGGGUCCGGGCGUUGUCCGGAAUUACUGGGCGUAAAGAGCUCGUAGGUGGUUUGUCGCGUUGUCCGUGAAAACUCACAGCUUAACUGCGGGCGUGCGGGCGAUACGGGCAGACUAGAGUACUGCAGGGGAGACUGGAAUUCCUGGUGUAGCGGUGGAAUGCGCAGAUAUCAGGAGGAACACCGGUGGCGAAGGCGGGUCUCUGGGCAGUAACUGACGCUGAGGAGCGAAAGCGUGGGGAGCGAAC
rnacentral:rRNA from 1 species